rnacentral:rRNA from 1 species
GCGCCUUACCACCUUACCAAUCUUGACUCCUUUGAAACUCUAGAGAUAGAGCCUUCCCCUUCGGGGGACAAAGUGACAGGUGGUGCAUGGUUGUCGUCAGCUCGUGUCGUGAGAUGUUGGGUUAAGUCCCGCAACGAGCGCAACCCUUAAGCUUAGUUGCCAUCAUUAAGUUGGGCACUCUAGGUUGACUGCCGGUGACCAACCGGAGGAAGGUGGGGAUGACGUCAAAUCAUCAUGCCCCUUAUGAUUUGGCCUACACCCGUGCUCCCAUGGCCAC